UACGUAGGGUGCAAGCGUUAAUCGGAAUUACUGGGCGUAAAGCGUGCGCAGGCGGUUGUGCAAGACAGAUGUGAAAUCCCCGGGCUUAACCUGGGAGCUGCAUUCGAAACUGUCUUGCUAGAGUAUGGGAGAGGGAGGUGGAAUUUCAGGUGUAGCGGUGAAAUGCGUAGAUAUCUGAAGGAACAUCAGUGGCGAAAGCGACCUCCUGGACCAAUACUGACGCUCAGGUGCGAAAGCGUGGGGAGCAAACAGG
rnacentral:rRNA from 1 species